rnacentral:rRNA from 1 species
AUUGAACGCUGGCGGCAGGCUUAACACAUGCAAGUCGAGCGGAGAGAGGUAGCUUGCUACUGAUCUUAGCGGCGGACGGGUGAGUAAUGCUUAGGAAUCUGCCUAUUAGUGGGGGACAACAUUUCGAAAAGAAUGCUAAUACCGCAUACGUCCUACGGGAGAAAGCAGGGGAUCUUCGGACCUUGCGCUAAUAGAUGAGCCUAAGUCGGAUUAGCUAGUUGGUGGGGUAAAGGCCUACCAAGGCGACGAUCUGUAGCGGGUCUGAGAGGAUGAUCCGCCACACUGGGACUGAGACACGGCCCAGACUACUACGGGAGGCAGCAGUGGGGAAUAUUGGACAAUGGGCGCAAGCCUGAUCCAGCCAUGCCGCGUGUGUGAAGAAGGCCUUAUGGUUGUAAAGCACUUUAAGCGAGGAGGAGGCUACUUUAGUUAAUACCUAGAGAUAGUGGACGUUACUCGCAGAAUAAGCACCGGCUAACUCUGUGCCAGCCGCCGCCGUAAAAC